AACGAACGCUGGCGGCAGGCCUAACACAUGCAAGUCGAGCGAGGACUUCGGUCCUAGCGGCGGACGGGUGAGUAACGCGUGGGAACGUGCCCUUUGCUUCGGAAUAGCCCUGGGAAACUGGGAGUAAUACCGGAUGAGCCCUUUGGGGGAAAGAUUUAUCGGCGAAGGAUCGGCCCGCGUUUGAUUAGGUAGUUGGUGGGGUAAUGGCCUACCAAGCCGACGAUCCAUAGCUGGUUUGAGAGGAUGAUCAGCCACACUGGGACUGAGACACGGCCCAGACUCCACCGGGAGGCAGCAGUGGGGAAUCUUAGACCAUGGGGGAAACCCUGAUCUAGCCAUGACGCGUGAGCGAUGAAGGCAUUAGGGUUGUAAAGCUCUUUCAGCUGGGAAGAUAAUGACGGUACCAGCAGAAGAAGCCCCGGCUAACUCCGUG
rnacentral:rRNA from 1 species